AUGCGCAAUUGUCUCGUGCGGCCCGAGGAAAUUUCCUCUUACACGCCCUCUGCGGCAGGCUCCAGUUCCUCCUCCUCCUUUCUCCACUUUACUAGUCCCUGCAGGCCUGUGUAAAGAUCUGCGUAAUCAUGGAAGUUCUGCGUCCACAGCUUAUAAAGAUUGGUGGACGGGUUUAUAGGAAGAAUCCCAUUCAAGAACAGACUUAUCAACAUGAAGAAGAAGAUGAUGACUAUUACCAAGGCCUCAUGGAGUGUGCGGAAGAGCCCUGUGAAACGUACGAGGUGGUGCAGACCCCACAAGGUUUCCGAUGUACCGUGAAGGCCCCCAGCCUCCUCUACAAGCAUAUUGUUGGAAAGAGAGGGGACACUAGAAAGAAACUAGAAGUGGAGACCAAAACUUCCAUUAGCAUUCCUAAGCCUGGACAAGAAGGAGAAAUUG